GAUGAACGCUGGCGGCGUGCCUAAUACAUGCAAGUCGAGCGAACGGACGAGAAGCUUGCUUCUCUGAUGUUAGCGGCGGACGGGUUAGUAACACGUGGAUAACCUACCUAUAAGACUGGGAUAACUUCGGGAAACCGUAGCUAAUACCGGAUAAUAUUUUGAACCGCAUGGUUCAAAAGUGAAAGACGGUCUUGCUGUCACUUAUAGAUGGAUCCGCGCUGCAUUAGCUAGUUGGUAAGGUAACGGCUUACCAAGGCAACGAUGCGUAGCCGACCUGAGAGGGUGAUCGGCCACACUGGAACUGAGACACGGUCCAGACUCCUACGGGAGGCAGCAGUAGGGAAUCUUCCGCAAUGGGCGAAAGCCUGACGGAGCAACGCCGCGUGAGUGAUGAAGGUCUUCGGAUCGUAAAACUCUGUUAUUAGGGAAGAACAUAUGUGUAAGUAACUGUGCACAUCUUGACGGUACCUAAUCAGAAAGCCACGGCUAACUACGUG
rnacentral:rRNA from 1 species